rnacentral:siRNA from 1 species
UGAUUUUGCAGGAAAGAGGAGUAU